rnacentral:rRNA from 1 species
UACGUAGGGUGCGAGCGUUGUCCGGAAUCAUUGGGCGUAAAGCGCGUGUAGGCGGUCCGGUAAGUCUGCUGUGAAAGUCGGGGGCUCAACCCUCGAAUGCCGGUGGAUACUGUCGGGCUAGAGUGCGGAAGAGGCGAGUGGAAUUCCUGGUGUAGCGGUGAAAUGCGCAGAUAUCAGGAGGAACACCUAUUGCGAAGGCAGCUCGCUGGGACGUAACUGACGCUGAGACGCGAAAGCGUGGGGAGCAAACAGG